rnacentral:lncRNA from 1 species
AUGGCUUGCUUUAUGCAUGUGCUUUAAGUCAUCAGCUGGGACCAAAAUUUCUGAGGAUCACCAUCAUCUCUGGUAGACAUCGGCCGCCCAUCAAAAGAGGUCCAUCCAAGUCGCAAUCUUCCAAAGCAUCUUUUUUUUCUUCUCUCUUUUCUUUUCUUGAGAAAAGAUCUUCCAGAGCUGCUUGUCGGCAAAAGAUUAUUGAUGAACUCCGCAAAUCUUGGAACAUCAGCCCGGUUUAAAUCAGACAAUAUGAUUGAUAAUUGUAGGCAACUCACAUUGCCGACAUGGUAUGCAUUUUCCUUGUGCGACGAGACAAGGAAAGAAGUUGUCAGAUAUGCUGUGUUUCCACAUGGGAACAGUGUAAGACUCAUGAGACUGGAAUGGAGGCUUUGGAUAUAAAUUGCUGAUUCUUUUCGAAUGUCGACAUAGCUUUUCAACUAUAGUCUCUACAAAAUGAAGCUGUAGGCUGCUAAGGCAUUUGACAAGAGGGUUAUAAUAAAUUAUAGAGAACAAUAUACAGAAAGUGCAGUACUUCGUAUACAUCAUCAGAGCUAACAUCCUAAAUUUCCAUGCAUGAUUUCUAAAAUGUGCUCUUUAAUACCUUAAAUAUAAAUAUCUUUAAAUAAAGCUUCAAACACCUUUGCAGAAACGACUCACUUCAAACUUCAAGGGAAGUCAU